CUAAUAGCCGGCAUACGAACGCAACGCACGACACGAGCAACAGGGAACCGAAAUGAAAUGGAAUUAAUCAAAGUCACCUUUUGUCGAGCCCGAAGAAUAAAAGAUGGCGUCUCCACCAUAGUCGUCGUCUUCGUCGCCGUGAUUCCCGAUCUAGUUGGCACUGACUGAGGGCCCUGUUGCCUAGGAUUAUUUCUACAGGAGAAGCGUGACGACCGUCCGAUUGACGAUUAUCAAAUUAUUAUUGAACUGUGUCGGGUUGAAGAAGCAUGAUCUGCUUUCGAUUCGUCGCAUCGUCUUCGUCAUUGUCGGCUGACAACAACAUCAGGGGUAACAU